AUUGAACGCUGGCGGCGUGCUUAACACAUGCAAGUCGAUCGGUAACAGGUGUAGCAAUACAUGCUGACGAGAGGCGGACGGGUGAGUAAUGCUUGGGAAUCUGCCUAUUAGUGGGGGACAACCCGGGGAAACUCGGGCUAAUACCGCACACGCUCUACGGAGGAAAGCCGGGGACCGCAAGGCCUGGCGCUAAUAGAUGAGCCCAAGUCGGAUUAGCUAGUUGGUAGGGUAACGGCCUACCAAGGCGACAAUCCGUAGCUGGUCUGAGAGGACGACCAGCCACACCGGAACUGAGACACGGUCCGGACUCCUACGGGAGGCAGCAGUGGGGAAUAUUGGACAAUGGGGGCAACCCUGAUCCAGCGACGCCGCGUGGGUGAAGAAGGCCUGCGGGUUGUAAAGCCCUUUCGGUGGGAAGAAAAGUCUCGACCUAAUACGUCGGGACCUUGACGUAACCCACUAAAGAAGCACCGGCUAACUCUGUGCCAGCA
rnacentral:rRNA from 1 species